rnacentral:rRNA from 1 species
UCGAGCGCGGGAGCAGCUGAUCCUCUUCGGAGGUGACGCUUGUGGAACGAGCGGCGGACGGGUGAGUAACACGUGGGCAACCUGCCUGUAAGACUGGGAUAACCCCGGGAAACCGGGGCUAAUACCGGAUAAUACUUUUCAUCACCUGAUGGAAAGUUGAAAGGUGGCUUCUUGCUACCACUUACAGAUGGGCCCGCGGCGCAUUAGCUAGUUGGUGAGGUAACGGCUCACCAAGGCAACGAUGCGUAGCCGACCUGAGAGGGUGAUCGGCCACACUGGGACUGAGACACGGCCCAGACUCCUACGGGAGGCAGCAGUAGGGAAUCUUCCGCAAUGGACGAAAGUCUGACGGAGCAACGCCGCGUGAGUGAUGAAGGUUUUCGGAUCGUAAAGCUCUGUUGUUAGGGAAGAACAAGUGCCGUUCGAAUAGGGCGGCACCUUGACGGUACCUAACCAGAAAGCCCCGGCUAACUACGUGCCAGCAGCCGCGGUAAUACGUAGGGGGCAAGCGUUGUCCGGAAUUAUUGGGCGUAAAGCGCGCGCAGGCGGUCCUUUAAGUCUGAUGUGAAAGCCCACGGCUUAACCGUGGAGGGUCAUUGGAAACUGGAGGACUUGAGUACAGAAGAGGAGAGUGGAAUUCCACGUGUAGCGGUGACAUGCGUAGAGAUGUGAGGAACACCAGUGGCGAACGCGACUCUCUGGUCUGUAACUGACGCUGAGGCGCGAAAGCGUGGGGAGCGAACAGGA